rnacentral:sRNA from 1 species
UGAAAUAGCGACCGAAACAGUCGUGUCCCGUGA